rnacentral:misc_RNA from 1 species
UUUCCGUAGGUCGCUAGAGUUCAGCCUACCAAAGCAAACCUUUCAAAACUGCUAGUCUCUCCCCGAGGCGACACGCUCAAUGUUGCGGAGAGGCCCUCUUUUCAGAGGGUAAUCCGCAGCCGGCCCCCUAAAGGCUGGUUCAGAGACUCAAUGAGUGUGGGUUUGGCCUUUUGGCCAGGCUUAAGAUAGAGCCCGUCCCUGUAGGCAACUGCGGGGGAUGAACGGAACCUGCGGAAGGAUCAUUAAAGAAUCGGUGACCCUCGCGGUCCCAUUCUCACCCUUUGUAUACCAAACUGCAGUUGCUUUGGCUGGCCUUCGCGGGCCGGCCAGAGGACUCAAACCCUUGAAUCUUUGCUGUCUGAGUACUAUAUAAUAGUUAAAACUUUCAACAACGGAUCUCUUGGUUCUG